ensembl:snRNA LOC120099436 U1 spliceosomal RNA
AUACUUACCUGACAAGGAAGAGACAAUGAUCGAGAAGGUGGUCUUCCCAGGGCUAAACUCACUCAUUUCCCUCCAGAUGUGCUGACCUCUGUGAUUUCUCCAUGUGGGAAAUUUGACUGCAUAAUUCCUGGUAGUGGAGGGACUGGGAUUGGCACUCCUCCC